AUUGAACGCUGGCGGCAGGCCUAACACAUGCAAGUCGAACGGUAACAGGAAACAGCUUGCUGUUUCGCUGACGAGUGGCGGACGGGUGAGUAAUGUCUGGGAAACUGCCUGAUGGAGGGGGAUAACUACUGGAAACGGUAGCUAAUACCGCAUAACGUCGCAAGACCAAAGAGGGGGACCCUCGGGCCUCUUGCCAUCGGAUGUGCCCAGAUGGGAUUAGCUUGUUGGUGGGGUAACGGCUCACCAAGGCGACGAUCCCUGGCUGGUCUGAGAGGAUGACCAGCCACACUGGAACUGAGACACGGUCCAGACUCCUACGGGAGGCAGCAGUGGGGAAUAUUGCACAAUGGGCGCAAGCCUGAUGCAGCCAUGCCGCGUGUAUGAAGAAGGCCUUCGGGUUGUAAAGUACUUUCAGCGGGGAGGAAGGGAGUAAAGUUAAUACCUUUGCUCAUUGACGUUACCCGCAGAAGAAGCACCGGCUAACUCCGUG
rnacentral:rRNA from 1 species